AUGGAAAGCAUGCCGAUGGAGCGGAAGCCGAUGAAAAUUUCAUCGUAAUUAAAGCGGACAUGGAAGAAGAUAGGUGUUGUUUUCCUUUUCUGUAUUUGUUAGAGCAUGACUCAUGUAAGAUUCACGUUUUUCCUUAGAUAUGGACUCGGUGUUCUAGUCGUGUUUGGUUAUAUUUCUUCGGAUCAGGGUAUAAAUAUGGACCGAGGGACAAUGUAAAAAUAUACAUCAAUCAAUAUCAAACCAAUUUUACUCCUAUUUUGCAUCUACUUACUUUUUGGUG
rnacentral:lncRNA from 1 species